CGGCCGCGGUACCCUAACCGUGCGAAGGUAGCAUAAUCACUUGUUCUUUAAAUGAGGACUCGUAUCAACGGCAUCACGAGGAUCCUACUGUCUCCCCCCUCUAAUCGGUGAAACUGAUCUCUCCGUGAAGAAGCGGAGAUGUACAUAUAAGACGAGAAGACCCCAUGGAGCUUUAAACCCAACAACACCCGCCCCCCUCCAAAUCCUAUUAUUUACCCGGUGAUUGUUUGUUUGGUUUUAGGUUGGGGUGACCGCGGAGUAUAAGAUAUCCUCCAUGAAAAAAAGCUAACUGCCCUUAUUAGAGAAAGACACUUCCAAAAAAUAAUAAAUUAAUUUUAAAUGAUCCGAUAUUCGAUCAACGAACCAAGUUACCCUGGGGAUAACAGCGCAAUCCGCCCCGAGAGCCCCUAUCGACAGGCGGGUUUACGACCUCGAUGUUGGAUCAGGGUAUCCCAGUGGUGCAGCAGCUACUAAAGGUUCGUUUGUUCAACGAUUAAAACCCUA
rnacentral:rRNA from 1 species